rnacentral:tRNA from 1 species
AUUUAAAUAGUAUAUUUUUAGUACAUUUAAUUUCCAAUUAAAAAGAUUUUAAAAAAAAUUUAAAUA